rnacentral:misc_RNA from 1 species
UGGGAUGCAUGAUGCGCAUCAGUAAGUCCCUUUGAUUUGCUGUUUUGUUACUAUUGUCAUUUUUGUUAUGAUUGUACUACUGUUACUGUUAUCAUAGGAUCUGAACUCAUAGAAAAAUACGCAUGCAUGGAUAUUUUUUACUUUGUUUAAUCAGACUGGCUUAAGCAGGUAGGUUGAAUGUAGGAAAUAUGUAGUUAGGCAGAUCUAGUUAUUUUAUCAAUUUUAAAAUUGAAGAUUUAAAUGCAUUUUUCUGGACGAAUCAGGAGAUUUACACGACCUUUCAUUUUCUGCUUUGAUACUUGUUCCAAUUGGACUAUGAAUUUAUGGAGCUGUUGUAAGUAGCAAGUAGACAUUGAUUCUCAUGAGUUAUAUUUUUGAUCGAGCUAAUUGUAUGUAAUAUAAUCAUGGUUUAUAUAUCAGUAACUUGAACUUGAGUACUCAUUGGGCAUAAACGAUUGUAAAUAAACCUGAAAUGGCAGUGUGAAUCUCAUAAGAUUUCUGCUACUCUUUAUAAUUCUCAACAUUCUUUGUUCUUCAGUUGAUUUCAGAACUAAAAUUUUACUGUCUUUUGUUUAUUUAUGCUGUUUAUAUGACCAAUGUUAGUAUUCUUUUCUCCUUUACAGGUGUCAUAUUUGCUUGAUUGACUAUGAGGAAGGGGAUAAAAUUAGAGUUCUUCCAUGUUCACAUGAAUAUCAUAUGUUAUGUGUUGAUAAAUGGCUCAAAGAAGUACAUGGGGUAUGUCCUCUCUGCAGAGAUGAUGUUUGCAAGGGUGUUGCUGAAGGUUCUACCUCAAACCCCGAGAUUCCAGCUCUUUGAUGCAUAUGUAUAUAAACAUGUAGAUGAAGUCAAAACUUUUUUCUUGAAAUGGCAUUCGACCUGUGAGAUUUAUACAACUUGCAGUGUAUAAUAUGCCAUUUAUGGUAUAGUACUUUUGGAUAUGAGAUUUACUAUUCAUAUAUAUGUUUUGCGGAUUAUGGUUGCAAUUAAAAAGCUAUGGAUUAGGUUUUUGAAAUGUAUGAUAUUUCAUCUCAUUCUGAUAUGUGUGCCCCCAUAAACAUUGUUUAUUUAUAGCUUUUAUGCUAUCUUGACUAAUAUGUGAAUUUAUU